AAGAAAGGAGUACUUUGAGAAGGCUUCUUCAUCAUCAAAUCACAAAGCAAAAUCUUGGACGAUUCAGUUGAUUCGUCAUUGAACGACUUAGAUCUAUUACACAGUUCUUCAGAUGAGCAAUGGAAUAAUUUUAGACCCAAUGUUCAUGUACAAAGAAUUACAUUCACUAUACUUCUUUAAGCAAAAAUGUAUACAAACUUAUCUGAAUUAUGAAUCAUUUUGAAUUGUCUAUCUAAUUUUUUUAAAUUUUGAUUGUACUAUUCAAUCUUUCAAUUUGUUUGAUUUGAUCAGUCAGCAGCACUUUAAGUUCAAAUUUUAAGCUAAUUGCUUAUUUUAGUAAAUUUAUAAUUAUAAUAAUUGCAUGAAAUAUAUUAAAUCUAUAAACAUAGAUGACACAAUCAAAUUUUAAAGCUAAAGUGACGUUGAUUGAUUCAAAUCAAACAAAUCGAAAUGUUAUAUGGUAGAGUCAAAAAUUUUGAAAAAUUGAAUAAUCGAUUCAAAAUGAUUCAUAGUGCAAGUAAGUUCUGUACGUUUUUACCUACUUAAUUGUAGGAAAUCUAUGCCUCGGUCGUCCAACGAACUUGGUACCAAAAUGACUAAGUCGCUCUAAAUUUGUUCGGUAACGAAAUUAGAGAAAAUUCAAGUGUAAUGGUUAUAAAAAUCCUACAAGUGCCAUUGAAAACUCACACAAAAACCAGUAAUCAACUAUUACGAGCCACCAAAUGCAUUCUAAAAGAACAAAAACCCUUGUAGGGAUAAUACAGCUUUGCAAAGACAUUCUCCAAUCCUGGGGGUAUUAUGUGAGAUCACAAGCGAUAGCUAUAUUUCUUUAUCUUAAACUUUUAUGCCGCGCCCUACUUAAAUAGUAACAAAAGAAAUAAUCACCCCCUCUACUCCAUACUAUACAGUAAAAAGAAAAAAAAAAAAAAAAGGGAUGUAAAAAGGACGUACCCUCUUAAACAGCUGCAUAAACGGUCCGCUUUGCGAGAGUGACUUCGGUUUGUGCAGAUGGAUAGUUGAUCUGAUCAACCAUUUCGAUAAUCAUUUCCUACGACCAGCGUCGACGAUUACGUUAUGAUGUUUGCAACAAAAGGAACG
rnacentral:lncRNA from 1 species